AUUGGAGAGUUUGAUCCUGGCUCAGGACGAACGCUGGCGGCGUGCCUAACACAUGUAAGUCGAACGGGGCUCGGGGGGCAACUCUCGAGUUCAGUGGCAGACGGGUGCGUAACACGUGAGAAACUUGUCCAUCGGUGGGGGAUAGCCGGCCCAACGGCCGGUUAAUACCGCGUACGAUCGUUUGGGGGCAUCCCUGGACGAUGAAAGCACCGCAAGGUGCGCCGGCGGAGAGUCUCGCGGCCUAUCAGCUAGUUGGCGGGGUAACGGCCCACCAAGGCGACGACGGGUAGCUGGUCUGAGAGGAUGGCCAGCCACAUUGGGACUGAGACACGGCCCAGACUCCUACGGGAGGCAGCAGUGGGGAAUCUUGCGCAAUGGCCGCAAGGCUGACGCAGCGACGCCGCGUGUGGGA
rnacentral:rRNA from 1 species